rnacentral:rRNA from 1 species
UACAGAGAUCUCAAGCGUUGUUCGGAUUCAUUGGGCGUAAAGGGUGCGUAGGUGGCGCGGUAAGUCGGGUGUGAAAUCUCGGAGCUUAACUCCGAAAUUGCAUUCGAUACUGCCGUGCUCGAGGACUGGAGAGGAGACUGGAAUUCCUGGUGUAGCGGUGAAAUGCGCAGAUAUCAGGAGGAACACCGGUGGCGAAGGCGGGUCUCUGGGCCGUAACUGACGCUGAGGAGCGAAAGCAUGGGGAGCGAACAGG